rnacentral:rRNA from 1 species
UUCCUACGGGGCGCAGCAGUGGGGAAUAUUGCACAAUGGGGGGAACCCUGAUGCAGCGACGCCGCGUGGGUGAAGGAGCACCUCGGUGCGUAAAGCCCUAUCGGCAGGGAAGAAACAGACGGGACCUGACUAAGAAGCCCCGGCUAACUCCGUGCCAGCAGCCGCGGUAAUACGGAGGGGGCGAGCGUUAAUCGGAAUUACUGGGCGUAAAGCGCUCGUAGGCGGGAUGUCAAGUCAAGGGUGAAAUCCCCGCGCUCAACGGGGGAACUGCCUUUGAAAAUGGCAAACUGGAGUGUGUG